rnacentral:lncRNA from 1 species
UAAGUGUACUUUGUUGCUUUGACUACUCUUCUGUAGUCUCAUUGUCUAUUACGUUCUAAAUAAUUGUAGUGGGUUCAACCCAUGAAUUGCGCACUCUUUCACUGUUUAGUUCUAAUUAGUUUUAAUUUUAUUCACUUUUUGCAUCACUUACCCUUAUGGUUACGUCACCUCAGAGUGAUGGCCAGCAUGCUUAGACCUUUCCAGGUCGGGGUGUAUCAGUUUGGUAUCAGAGCAUAGGUUUAGACAGUCCUGCACUUCCUAGUAUGUUUUAACUCUUGUUUCUUAUGUUAGAGCCAUGCCACCUCAUAGAGAGCCACGUUCUCCAGCUAAGAAUAACUUUCCGGACUUUGGGCAGUUUGGUGAAGCUAUCGCCACUGCUAUUCAGUCUUCACUUCGUCCUACCCCGAGGAAUACUCUGGAUAUUGUAUCUCGCCUGAAGAUUAAUGAUUUCUUUGGUAAUAAGGGAUCUGAGAAGUCAGAGAUAUGGUUCGAUCAUGUGGAGAAGACUUUUCGAGUUAUGUACAGGGAGGGUAAUCUUUCCCUAGAGAGAUGGGUCGAGACAGCGACCUAGUUUUUUCGAUUGGGAGCAGAAUCUUGGUGGGAUCACGAGAGGAGAUCAUUAUUUGCUGCGAAUGCUAUAGAUUAGGAUGUUUUCAAACGUUUGUUCCAGACCAGAUUUAUUCCUUCUAAGUAUUUGGAUAGUAAGAAGAAUGAGUUCACAAACCUGAGGUAGGGCAAUAUGUCAGCCACUGAGUAUCAUGGAAGGUUCACAAACUUAUCUCGUUAUUGCCCCGAGACUGCUUCCCCUCUUACACUUGCUACUACCAAUGGGGCGUAGUCUCGAAUCAGGGAGAACCAUACCAGUAUACACCUGAGGUUCCCUAUGAUCAGGGAGGCUAUCAGCAGACUCAGGGAGGUUAUCCACAGUUCCAGGGAGAUUAUACACCGUAUCAAGGCGGCGGAGCACAGUUGUAUACUGGGGGCAAUAUCAGAACCUAGACGUAGCGUCUAACAGUGGAGAUUCAAGCAGACAGACAAAUCCACCCCAACAGGGCCGAGGUAAUCAGGGUCAAGGUAAUCAGACUCAAGCUAACGAAGGUCGUGGAGGCAGACAUCAAGUUCAUGGGAGAGUUAACAACAUAUCCCUUCAAGAUGCUCCAGCGAAUCCGAACUUGAUCAUGGGUACGUUGAAUGUUCUAGGCCAUUUUGCUAAAGUUUUAAUUGAUUCUGAUGCUACACAUUCAGUUAUUUCCCAUAAGUUUGCUCAAACGACUCAACCACAUCCUACUUCACUCGACUACGAGUUAGAGUUCUCUAAGCCUAGGGGUGAAAUCUGUUAUGUUAGUUGGGAAUAUCAAGGAUGUCUUAUCCUUAUCGAAGAUGUAGUCUUGCCAGCUAAUCUUGUUCCUUUGGAUAUCGUUGAUUUUGACGUUAUCUUAGGCAUGGAUUGGUUACACUACAAUCGUGCCAAGUUGGACUAUUAUGAGAAAGUUGUUACUUUUCACCGACCAGACAUGCCUACUGUCACGUUUAUCGGUGAGCACGGUGGUCUAAAGCAUGAAGUUAUCACUGCCAUGAGGGUGAGAUGACUGUUGAAUAAAGGUUGUCAAGGUUACUUAGCUCAUGUUGUGCUAGCGGAGGAGACUACUGCAUCUGUGGAAGAAGUCGGAGUAGUUAGACAUUUUCUCGAUGUUUUUCCUGAGGAAUUACCUGGUUUACCCUCAGAUCGUGAAGUGGAGUUCACCAUCGAUCCACUUCCAAGUACUAAUCCUAUUUCUCUUGCACCUUAUCGUAUGGCUCCUGCAGAGUUAAGGGAACUUAAAACUCAGUUGCAAGAGUUAGUUGAUAAGGGCUUCAUUCAGCCAAGCACUUCCCCGUUGGGAGCUCUAGUUCUGUUUGUACGGAAGAAAGAUGGAACUUUGAGGUAAUGCAUAGAUUACAGGCAGUUGAAUCGGGUAACAAUUAAAAACCGUUAUCCGUUACCUCAUAUUGAUGACAUCUUCAAUCAGCUUAAAGGUGUUUGUGUGUUUGUGUGUUCUAGAAGAUUGAUCUGAGGUCUGGUUACUAUCAAUUGAAGAUUAGAAGCGACGACGUUCCGAAGACAGAUUCCAGAACUCGAUAUGGUCAUUACGAGUUCCUAGUGAUGCCAUUUGGAUUGACUAAUGCACCAGCAGCUUUCAUGAACCUAAUGAAUCAGUAUUCCAUCCAUAUCUCAACAGGUUCGUCAUUGUUUUCAUAGAUGACAUUUUGAUGUAUUCGAAGAAUGAAACUGAUCAUGUCAGGCAUCUGCGUUUGGUUCUAAAUAUGCUAAGGGCAAAUCGGUUUUAUGCUAAGUUCAGCAAAUGUUAGUUUUGGCUGGAUCAAGUGUCAUUUUUAAGGCACGUGGUAUCAGCUUAGGCUGUGCUUGUGGAUCCUCAGAAAAUAGCAGCUGUGGGAAAUUGGGAACAACCUCGGACAGUUACGGAAGUCCAAAGCUUUCUUGGUCUUGCUGGUUAUUAUCAACGCUUCGUGAAAGACUUUUCGACCAUAGCACUACCUAUGACAAAAUUGACUAGAAAAAAUGUUCAUUUUGUGUGGAGUAGUGAGUGUGAGCAGAGUUUCCAGCAGUUGAAGUACCUUAUCACUCAUGCAUCUAUCUUAGCACUUCCCGAUAAUGGUGGGAACUUCGAGAUCUACAAUGAUGCGUCUCUGAAUGGUCUUGGUUGUGUGUUAAUGCAGCAUGAUAAAGUGAUUGCUUAUGCAUCGCGGCAGUUAAAGCCCCAUGAGAAGAACUAUCCUACUCAUGAUCUCGAGUUGGCAGCGAUCAUCUUUACUUCAAAAAUUUGGAGGCACUAUCUUUAUGGGGGAAAAUGUAAGAUCUUCACUGAUCAUAAAAGCCUUAAAUACAUCUUCAAUUAGCCGAACCUCAAUCUCCGGCAGUGAAGGUGGGUAGAGUUACUCAGUGAUUAUGAUUACACCAUUGAGUAUCACUCAGGUCGUGCCAAUUCAGUAGCUGAUGCUCUUAGUAAGAAGUCUCAUGGCCAACUUAAUGCUUUUUAUGCUAGUCGCAUUCUUAUUUUGACUGACCUGAGAUCCAUUGGAGUAGUUUUGAAAGAGGGUCGUCAGAAGGCCCUAAUUGCCAGUUUUCAGAUCAGACCUGUUCUGUUGGAUCGUGUUCUUGAAGCUCAGAGGAACGAUACAAAAUCUCGUGAAUUGAUUUAGGCAGUGUCGGAUAGGAGAAAGAAAUACCUCUGGAUUAGAGAUCCUGGAGGCAUGCUUAUGCAAGGCAAACAGAUGUAUGUACCAAAUGUUGAGGAAUUGAAGAAAGACAUAUUGGAUGAAGUGCAUAUUUCUGCUUAUGCCAUGCACCCUGGGAGCACUAAGAUGUAUCAUACCAUCCAUCACUUCUACUAUUGGCCAGGUAUGAAAAGAGAAGUUGCAUAAUAUGUUAGUUGUUGUGAAAUUUGCCAGUAGGUUAAGGUAGAAAGGAAAAAGCCGUUUGGAUUGCUGCAACCACUCCCGAUACCUCUGUGGAAAUGGGAAGAUAUUACGAUGGAUUUCAUGUACAAGUUACCUCGUAUGCGAAAUGAUUACGAUGGUAUCUGAGUGGUGGUUGAUCAACUUACCAAGUCAGCGCAUUUCAUACCUGUUCGUGAGAAUUACUUGUUGAGUUAGUUGGCCGAACGGUUCAUCUCUGAAGUGGUUAGGUACCACGGAGUUCCAGUUAGUAUCAUUUAUGAUCUGGAUCCUUGAUUUACUUCGAAGUUCUGGGUAGCUUUUCAGGAAGCUUUGGGAUCGAGAUUACUCUACAACACCGCUUAUCAUCCUCAAACUGAUGGGCAGUUAGAGAGAACUAUCCAGACUUUGGAAGAUAUGUUGAGAUUGUCAAUUCUACAGUUUGGAGACGCUUGGCACAAAUGCUUACCGUUGAUAAAGUUUGCAUACAACAACAGCUUCCAUUCUAGUAUUAGUAUGGCCCCGUUUGAAACGUUGUAUGGGAAACCAUGUCGUACUUCACUUUGUUGGUCCGAGGUUGGCGAACGAGUUUUAAUGGGCCCUGAGAUCGUGGAGGAGACAACGCAUGAUAAAGGCUAACCUGAAAGCGGCCCAGAAUGGGCAGAAGAGUAUCACCGACAAACAUUCUACCGACAGAGUUUAUGAGGUUGGUGAUUGGGUAUUCUUGAAAUUAUCGUCGUGGAAAGGUGUUGUGCAAUUAGGCAAGAGAGGAAACUCAGCCCUAGGUACAUCGGGCCAUACCAGAUCGUUGAACGAGUUAGGGAAGUUGCUUAUCAACUUGCAUUGCCACUAGAGUUGGCGAGAGUGCAUAAUGUGUUUCAUGUAUCGAUGCUACGAAAGUACGUUUCUGAUCCGUCACACGUAAUCCUUCCUCAGCCACUGGAGAUCAAUCCAUAUUUGACCUAUGAUGAGGUUCCAGUGACUAUCCUUGAUUGCAAAGAUAAGGUUCUUAGGAACAAAACAGUGCGGAUGGUGAAGGUUUUGUGAAGGAACCACUUAGUGGAGGAAGCCACUUCGGAGACAAAAGAGCGUAUGCGAGAUAUGUAUCCACGUCUAUUUUAUGGCUUUGAUGGUAGUCAGUAUUGAAAUUUUGGGGAUGAAAUUUUUAUAAAGGGGUAGAUUGUGACGACCCGUCCUUAAUUUUUCUAUGUAAUUUCUCCCCGAAUAUGUAAUUUGAUGAUUAUACCCUUAGUGGCAAAUGACGUGGACGUGUUUAUUUCUUCCUUGGUUAUUAUCUCACUAUCACAUUUAGAUUUGACACGUUAUUACGAGGGUACGAGUAUUUUACCCUUCUAAAAUAUACUAUUUCUGAUAGUUUUAGAUUUCCUUUUACUAUAGGAAAUCCAAAACCCUAUCCCUAGUAUCCUAUUUAGCCAACCUGUGCACCCCAUUAUUACACCAACCAAUCACUUUUCAUAAUUUACUCUCCAAUCUCGUCAGUUUCCUCCUACACUCUACCCAAUCAGAAAAAGCUAAGAAAAUUUCAAAACCUCUCUCUCUUCCGUGAACUCUCUCUUCCUCUGCAACUCCAUGAGUGAGCUCCAAAGCUCGUAGAUCGAACAAAUAAACUACAUCAUCAUGCUUAUCUUAGUCCCACGACCCCUAGUUCGCAUGUUGACCUAGUUUUGGACGUCCAACUCGGAAGGUCCGACUCGGCGAGUUCGAUAUAAUGAUUUUCAGGCCAUUCAUGGCUUAGGUAAGCUUCGAGAAAUCCUUAGAGCCUUCAUUUCACUUCUAUUGGUUGUUGUUGAUCCUUUGUUUGUGCUUUGGACGUGGUUUUACCUAGAAACUCGAGGAGAAGGUGAACCUACACAUUUUUCAUUUCAGAACCGUGGCCAUUUGGUCACUUUCAAACCAAUUUUUUGGUCAACCUCGACCACAACUGGACUUCUUCUAGGUACAAACUUGUUCUCUACAUUCCAAACUUCAUAAUGGCUUUUGAAUCACUGAGUUUGGUUAAGUAACGAGUUAGAAAUCAACUUUGGAAGUUAGGAAGAAAAUUUAAGUUUCUGGAAAAAUUGUAACCGUGGUCGUUUGGCCACUUUCAGUCCAAAUUUCUGAUUAACUAGUCAUAUUGGAACUUUCUGUGAAUUGGGAUCGGUAGACCACAUUCCUAGAGCUUUAAUUUGGCUUUUGUAGAAGUGAAUUUGGUUGAGAAUCGAGCUCGUUAGGAGCUUUGGAAGUUAGGCCAAAAAUCAGCAAAACUGCAGAUUUUCGCGAGGAAGGCAAGUACAGUGUACUCGCGGGCUUCGUGGACCGCGCAUGGGUUUUCUGGCAGCCAUUUUGGGCGGCGCGUGGGGGCGCGUCUGGCCUCUAAUCGGUGUGUGGGGGCGCGUCUGGCCUCCGGCCAGUGCGUGGGGGUGCGUCUAGCCUCCAACCGGCGCGUGGUUGACACGUGAGUGUUCGUGUCGUCGAGUAGAUCGAUUUCAUAUAUUUACACCCUUGGUUUGAGCAAACUAUGGGGGUUUUCUUUAGGUUUCCGUUAUAUGUUUUAAUUAAUAUUAUUUUAGUUAUUUCACAUUUAGGGGAAACUUAUCCUGAGGAUUUUCGAGGUCAAGCUAGGCUUAGGGGCUACGACCCAGAGAUGUACUUGUGAAUGGGCAGUUGUUUUAUACCUGUAUAUAUAUAUUUAUAGUUUCCAUAAAUGCGUAUUUACUUCACUUUUACGCCUAUAUUGCCUAGUAUCAUUAUUGUGAAAUAAUUUGUGAAUAAUGCUGCUAUAUGGUUGUGAUAUUACUAUCAUGGCAUUCAUACAUAUUUGUACAUGCUCAUCUUGCUGCACCCGGUGUUAGUACUCGCCCCAAGGCCAGGGCCAGUCCUUCAUGUGUAUGUUCACAUCCGCACCGUUCGCUCACGUUGGAUCCAAGUUUAGGUGCCAGUCCUGUCGGGUAGAUUGCACUAGGCAAUCCGACUUGUAUGUGAUGUGCUUUUGCACCAGUCUUCACGCGAUCGUGGUACUAGAGCAUAUUGAUUACACCCAGUCAUGUUCGUGUCAGAAACCAUAUGUUCUAACUUGUGCGUCAGCUUAGAUGGAUGAGCACUUAGUUAUAAUUGAUUAUCAUAUGAUUAUUACUGUGGCAUAUGAUACAUCAUUUACUUGGCAUAUUUCUGAUUAUUAUAUUGAAUUUCAUACUUACGUAGUAUGUUUUAAGGAAACUAUACUUGUUUUAUGGCAAGGGGUUAGUAUAUUCAAAGAUAAAGGUUUUCUUAUAAGCAUUGUUUUGCUGACCCACUCAACUUUAUUUUUUUUUUCGCCCCUCCAGGACCUAGAUAGCUGUACUCUUUGUGGCAUUCGAGGAAUCCCGGCAGUUCUGACAUUCCCUUCUAUUUUAGACGUACGAACUUAUCACUAUCAUGUAAUAAAUGUACUUUGGUUGCUUUGACUACUCUUCUGUAGUCUCACUGUCUAUUACGCUCUGAAUAAUUGUAGUGGGUUCAACCCAUGAAUUGCGCACUCUUUCACUGUUUAGUUCUAAUUAGUUUUAAUUUUAUUCACUUUUGCAUCACUUACCCUUAUGGUUACGUCACCUCACGAUGAUGGCCAGCAUGCUUCGACCUUCCCAGGUCGUGGUGUGUCAAUGGAGUUGGUGGAUAUAAGUACUGGUUUGGUACUAAGGUGCUUCUAUAAAAAGUGGGUAUAAA